AACGAACGCUGGCGGCAUGCCUAACACAUGCAAGUCGAACGAUACCUUCGGGUCUAUUUGCGAACGGGUGCGUAACGCGUGGGAACCUUCCCUUAGGUUCGGACUAACUCUCCGAAAGGGGCGCUAAUACCGAAUAAUGGCUUCGAACCAAAGAUUUAUCGGCUUGGGAGGGGGCCGCGUGGGAUUAGCUAUUUGGUAGGGUAAAAGUCUACCAAGGCGACGAUACAUAGCUGGUCUGGGAGAAUGACCAGCCACACUGGGGGUGGGACACGGCCCGGACUCCUACGGGAGGCAGCAGUGGGGAAUAUUGGACAAUGGGCGAGAGACUGAUCCAGCAAUGCCGCGUGAGUGAUGAAGGACUUAGGGUUGUAAAGCUCUUUUAACCGGGCUGAUAGUGACAGUACCGGGCGAAUAAGCGACGGCUAACUCCGUG
rnacentral:rRNA from 1 species